UACAUCAAAUUCUCAAAAUAUUCUUUAAAUUUAAGUCAUAAACAUGCAUAGGAAAUCUCUACUCACAUGGUGUGUUUCAUGGUUCAAAUUUAACAGGUUUGCUACCAAAUAGAAGUCUACGAAACUAAGCCAGAUUUGCUAUUAGGUAGGGGCAUGGAGAUCAUAAACUAAGAAUCCAAUAGCUCAAAUUAGAUAGGUUCUUGGCAAAUUUGGGGUUCGGGACUGAGAUGCAUUAAGGUCACAUUUCAAUCGUACGUUGCACCGACAAGCGCCAAGGGCAGUGGUACCCUGCUGCGAAGAUAGGACCAACGUGGCUCAAGCACAGGCCAUCUGUUAAUGAACAAUGUAUUAAUAGUCAAUCAAUGAAUUAUUUUAUAAAACAAAGCAAGCAAAUCGCAUCGAGGAACUUCAAAGAAUUACCUGUUUGGCUUCUUGUAGCUAGCCUCGUCAACAUCAGACCUAUGAAGAGCACAAAAAAUAAGUGAGCUGAAGAUCACAAGUAGAAGCCUGGAGCCACUUGACCGGCUUAUGCAUUGUAUUUGGCUCUUAGCUUAUUUAGGUACCGGAACUUUAGCUAAAGGUCGGCCAACUAUCCCCUUAAGAAUAGGAUAAAAAUCAUGCAACAUCUGUUCAAACAUUGUAAUAUGCCCAAACAAGACAUGUAUUGCUAAUAUGGUUAAAAGAAAAUGUAAAAAUAAGAGUUUCCAACAAAAAGUAAAAUGAACCAAGAUAGAAUCACCAAACUGACCCUAUGUUUUGCAAUUACCACCAAAAGUUUUGUUGGAAGAGGGGACAUAAUCACACUAGUCGAUGAGAACCAAGUGCAAUGUCCUAACACAAGAGUAUCGUGUACAUGAAUAGUGAUAGUUAAGUCUAGUAGCUCUAUAUAGUAGAUGCUCUUUAGAUGCUUUUAAACCACCUACGCAUGGUUGGCUAUAUAUAUACCCCAAACUGAGCUAUUGUCCCUGUGGUUAAUGGAAAGAGAUCUUUGGGCUAACAAAUAGCACUUGCUGACUAUUAAAAAAAAGAUGUGUAUAGGCAUACCUUUCAAAAAGCCUCAACCUUUCCAGAACAAUAGACCUUGGUAGAUAAUGUGUUUCUUCCUUACCAUGGAAGUUCAUGCCAAUGAAAUUCCCAUCAAAAUCAAUCAGGGGGCCUCCAAUACCAGCCUAGCACAGAAGCAAAUUGACACGUGAACAGAUAAUAUUUAUUAUUUCUAAUACCAUGCAAAUGCAGAUGCAAGUGAUAAUUUAAGUUGCUCAUAAUCUGAUGCAACUAUUUGUUUCAACCAUAAAUGAAAUCAACAGUGUACCUUUGUGACUUUACAAGUGGAGAUCAUAAGCUCUUUGCAGUCGAGAUUGCCUUCUUUGUCAGCCACUUUCCCACUUGUGGCCAUUAAUUUGCCUGAUUCAAAGAUACGUCCUACAGCUACUACCUCCAUAUGGGGUUCAAUUUGCCUAUUGUUGAAUUCUGCGGUUCGAAGACAGCGGAAACCCAUGACACUGACCACAGCAAUAUUAUAACUCAAAUUGUAAUGUUGCAAUGUCCCUUCAGCAACUUGCUUAUUUGGAAGGUACACUUUAAUCUGCUACGAAUGAGAAAGUGAGAAUUAACCAGUAUCUCAAAUGAACAGACAAAGAAGUACAUAACUGUUUGCAGUACGAACCUUCAAGUUAUCAGCAAUCUUGUAUUCAUCAGCAGAAGUUCUAACCAAACUUGCUGAAGUCAAAACCCUUGAGGUGGAUUCAUUGAAGCCUAUAAAUAUACCAGUGCAAGCAAAAAACCUUUCUUCUCCUACAAAGAAAAAUUGUUGCAACCGUAGUCAGUGAUGUAAUAGAGAAAGCAAACAUAUAUGAAAAAGUAAAUUAUCUUAUGCAAUCACCUUUGAAUGAAGCAAGUGAGACAACACUUCGGGAUAUACCUGAAGCAACCUUCUUACUGAGUUUGCUCCAUGUAUCUUCAACAAAUUCCUCUUCAAAAGUAUUAAUCAAGCGCAUACCCCCUGGGUAAAAAAACAUAGUAUAACAGUUGAGUGCUAGAAUAGACUGUCAAACUGUGAAACAAAAUUAGUCAGAAAAAGCAAAGCAAUAAUUGCUCACCCUCAAGCCUAAUUGGCAUAGGAUAAUUACGGGACUUUAGAUCAUUUCUCACAAGCUCCGUGAAAUCUGGUGCAACACGGUGAAGUGAUUAAUGUGGGGUUCACUGAUACUAUAGCUAGAAAAACUGAAAGCAAUGACUGACCAUCAACUGGUAAUGGAUUAGGAUAAAGCAAGGGCCAGAGUUCCUCUUCUUCAGAAUCUGGUGCAUCAAGCUGAAGUGAAUCAAUGACCAAGUACCAGUAAUGAUAAACAAGCAACAUUAUAACAUGAUGACAGUGUGCACGAUAAUUUAAUAACAUUAGAACUUAAGUGGCCCGUGUUUCGGUUAAAAAAGGAAGUGACUCAGCUUGAUUCACCUUCUGAAACACUCGCAAAGGAUAUGAAAAGCUGAUUCUUACUUUCACUAUCCUCAUAUGACCCGUGACUUCUCCCUUUAAAGUUAAACCUCGACUAUGGUGAGCUGUGCCAACAAUGGGACCAGCCAUGACUCAAAGUUGGACCUCAUCCUUAAUAAUCUGAACGACCCUUUGCAAGUUGCAAGCGGUGAUACCCGAUGUUUCCAAUAUAUCCAAGCCCCCAAGGAGUUCAAACCAGCCUCCAUAGAACUUGCCACUAACUUAAUAGCUCCAGACCACCGAUCAAAGAACUGCAUGAUGUAGGGGUGACAGGUCGGGGAGACCAAACAGUAUAAACAAGAGUGACCAGACUUCUCUUGAGAAGAUACAGGAGACUAUGAUGCGGUGGAUUAUCCCAUCUUCCUGGUCACAGAGCAGGCAACGCUCUGGAUGUGGUAGUUCCCAUCGUGCUAGGCAGUCAGCAGUCCAACAUUGACUAUGGGCUACUAACCAGAGGAAGAAUUGGCUGUAAUGACCAUGACUAGUAUUGAUAAUAAGUAACCAUCAUCACGCAAACUCCAAAAGCCACAUACCAAGACAUGUAUCUGUAUCCGGUAUCCGGUACAUGGUGGAUACAUCACAGAUACAUAAGUAUUGGGAAAACAAAGAUUUUAAUUGCUGACACAUAUUCGGCACUUGCUUGGUGGAUACUUCAUGGAUAAAGCCCCGCCGCCUAGCCACAACCUAAAACUUAACGACAAUAAGACUAAGGGGCUGUUUGACACCGGUAACUAACUUUAGCCCUAUCACGUUGGAUGUUCGGAUGCUAAUUAGGAGGACUAAAUAUGAAUUAAUUAUAAAACUAAUUGUAUAACCCCUAGGCUAAUUCGCGAGAUGAAUCUAUUAAGUCUAAUUAAUCCAUCAUUAGCAAAUAGUUACUGUAGCACCACAUUGUCAAAUCAUGGACUAAUUAGACUUAAUAAAUUUAUCUUACGAAUUAACCUCCGUCUGUGUAAUUAGUUUUAUAAUUAGACUAUAUUUAAUACUUCUAAUUAAUAUAUGAAAGUUAGCCCCUGUCAGGCAAACAGGUCCUAGCACAGUACGUCUUGGAACUCACGCGCUUCCCCUUACUACUGCUGGGUGACCCCUACCGCCUCACGUAAGCCAGACCAGACCACCGCACGCUUCCCCUUACUACUGCUGGGUGACCCCUACCGCCCCGACUCAUCAGUGAGUACAUCCGGUCAUCCCCAUUUAUUAAGACAGAGAACAAGUGCAAAUUCUUCGCUUGGGCAAUGAUACAAAUUUUUUUUCCCAAAGCAGGCAUUCUAAAUGUCAAGGGAUGGCCUCAUCAGCCGCAUUGCCCACUUUGGGCCUGUUUGUUUCCACCCUCCUAAACUUUAGCUCCUAAAAGUUUUUAGGCACCUCCUAAAAGUAUGUUUGGUUCCACCUCCUAAAAGUGACUAAAGGCAAUUAAUGAAGUGUAAAAUACCCAAGAUGCCCUUCCUCCAUGCCCCUGCAUGCCCCUCUACCGGCGCCGCACCGCCCCUCCGCCGGCGCUAGGCUCGUCUGUUGCCGGCCCCUGCACUGCCCCUCCGCCGACUCCGCCCCCUCCCUUCGAAUCCCAGCCGCCGCGCCCCUCCCCUCCUCUUCUUCCCCGGCACCGCCGCCCCCCUCCCGUUCCUCCCUCGCCCGGAUCCGGCGACGGGGGAUCUGGCGGGGGAGCGCCCGGCCGGCCUGUGCAGCGGCGCAAGGGAGCGGGGGCGGCGGGGGUAGGGGUGCCGUGCAGCGGCGGCGGACGGCGGGAAGGACGCCGCUGGCGGGGGCCGAACGGGGGAAGACGCCGGUGGCGGGCGGAAUGCGGGGGCCUAGGCAGGAGGGAGGGUGAGAGAGAGAGAGGAGGACAAUAAAUGAGGGCAAUGGGGUUCAGGAUGGGCUUUAGGAGGUUUUAGGAGGGGUGGAGCUCCUAAAGAAAUUGAAGCCUCCUAAAAGUUUUUAGUCACUUUUAGUCAGUGUUUGGUUCUUUAGUCACUUUUUAAUCACUUUUUAGGAGCUAACAUUUUAGGAGGGUGGAAACAAACAGACCUUUGCCGUAGCCGUCCAGAGACCAACUUUCGCUACUAUGCCCUUUCGCCAAAGUUUGUAUGGGAAACAGUAGCCAUGGCCCGAUGGGGCCUUUGGUGAAUUUGAGACGCUUGGCUGUUUUGGCUCAUUAAAAUGAAAGCUUUGGAAAAGAGAAAAAUGGCCUAAUCACAAGCUAAUUUUUUUAUUCAUACUAUGCUUUAGUAUUUGCAUUUCAAAAAAAAAUACCAAAACAUAUCUGUGUCUUGGAUAUUUCUUGAAAAUUCCGUGUAUCCAUAUCUUUGCUGCAUAGGAUGACAGUUUGCAUGAUAAUUUAAUGACGUUGGAUUUUAAAUAGCCCAGCUUGACUCACCUUCUGAAUAACUUGUAGAGGAUAUGGAAAGCUCCUGAUUCUUGUCCCUCUCCCCAGUUGAGCUACCUAAAAUAUAUAAAAAAAGGAAAGAAGAAUAAACAUAACUCAAACAAUGGAAUGCGCUAUCAAGAGCAUUAGCAGUAGAUUCUCAUACACAACCAUGUAUUUACAAUGAACCAAUUUCGACAAAACGUUAUUACUCGUGUGCGUGUAGGCACAAUUACGCGUGAAACAGAGGCCUAGUGCUUUGUUUAGGCCCUAGGCGGUAAAUUAAUCGCGCAAGCGGGCACAAGCACAGGCACACGGUCUGGAGAGGCGGGGAAAAAGAGUGCAGGAACCGAAAAGAGUUGCCUGGCGCACAGAAAGAAUUACCGCGCCACGCCGCGCCACUGCAUCUGCGCGUGGGAAUCCCGUCACGGUGCCACCCCCACGUGCAUAUCCUCCCGCCGUCCGCGCAGUACUAACCCGUGGCUUCGAGGGGAACCCCGACCACAUGUGGACUUCUCCUACCACAUGUGAACUUCUUUGCAUAAAAUUGAAUUGCUCUAUGUCCUACCUCUCUCACCCUGCCUCUCUCUGCUACAUGCAUUCAUCAGAUUUGGGCGAUUUGGCCAAUCUAAACAAAACUGUCUUGGUGUUUUUUAAUUUCGUCUGAAUCUGAUUACUGCUCGUGUGCUUGUGCUCUGAACCUGACAAAUGAACAUAUGAAUGUAUGAAUUGUGAUGCAAAUCCACCAAGUGCUAGACAAAUGCCUUCUGAUCAUGCUCCCAGCAGCAUAAAACACAAUCACUUAACCGCAUUUAAUCCACGUUGAGUCAACCUAGGCGCUAGGCAGUGGUCUAGUGCCUAGCACCUUUUUGAGCCUUGUAAUGAACCAGUUAGCACAGAUUAUAUGUUAGUACAGCAAUAAGUUCCACGGGUAGUGUCGAUUUUUUAUAUCAUUGUCCAAAAAUGCAGUAUUUCAUACUUCAAAGCAAAAUAGGUUUAUUAUCCCCAAUACAUCCCUAAUAAAAAUCCACUUUAUGGAUAGAGGGAGCACCACAAAACUUACCUAAAGCUACAGGACAGGAAUCUAUAAGUGAUGAUUAAUGAUUAAAGCUGGUGAAGAUGAAUUUCCUGACACUAAAUAAUUUAAACCAUUAAGAGUGAUCAUGCUUUAAUUUACCUUCUACAUUGGGCAUAAGAAAUUCCUGUAUCUCACAUGGGCUUCUUUCAAUUGUGCUAUCACCUCCAUGCUUGAUUUCAGCACUGCAUCAGAAAUGUAGUAAACUCAUCUAGAACAAAUGCACAGAGCUACCAAUCCCAAAUUAAAGCAAACAUUGCUUCUUAUGGAUACAAUAGUAUUCAGCUACAGAUGUGCAAACCAAAUUGUUGUGCCAAAUGAACUAGCAAGCUAGAAUCAGCUCAAAAGUUUUUUGAUAUAGCAUGCCUUAUCCAGUACACACUACACUGAUGUAUAAAUUUGGAACUUGCUUCUGGCCCAAACAACUGCAGUUGCCAAUGUAGUAAGUUGUUGCUUACUUCAUUUUAUACAUCCACUUAUCUUACGUCAACUGAUUCCAUAUUCCAGCUUGAACAGUAAAAUCACAAGUAGCCCAGGUGCUUUACGGUCGUUCAGAAGUACGAACUGAACCAAGUUUAGUAAAGAAAUGUGUGGGUGUACAACCUCAACCCCUAAGGUUCGAGUCCUCUUCAACUCAAAUUUAGGUUCCUACUUCUUAUCUACAAUGCCAAGUUCCUCCUAGGAAGGCCGAGUUAAUUUUUUUAUAUGGUCAUUUGGAAGUUGCUGACAUCUCAACUUCAAUGUGUGUAUCUACAACUGAGCAUUCUCAUUUAGAUGCCUAUCUUGUAAUUCAUUGUCUUUAUCUGGUUAUUGGUACUAGCAUUAGUUGCCUUUUAGCACAUUUUCACCUUUAGUUUCAUUAAAAGACUUCUGUUUUUCGAGAACUAGUUGAUAGCAUGUGACUUUUCAUCUGUUUUUAGCUUUGGGAAAUGGUUUAUUGGUAGGAUUGAGCUUCAGGAUUUCCAAGCCUAGUCUCAGACCUGGCUUGGCCCAGUGUUCAGACAGGUCUAUAUGAAAGUACUCCCUCCGUCCCAAAAAACAAGUCAUUCUAGUUUUAUCCUAAGUUAAACUUUUCUAAGUUUAACCAAAUUUAUGGCGAAAAGUAUUAACAUUUAUGACAUGAAAUAAUUAUACUACGAAAAUACAUUUCAUGAUGAACCUAAUGAUACUUAUUAGGUAUCGUAAAUAUUGAUAUUUUUUUAUAUAUACUUGAUCAAACUUGAGAAGGUUUGACUUAGGACAAAAAUAGAAUGACUUGUUUUGCGAUGGAGGGAGUAUAGAAGGCGUACCAGAGUAUCCCAGCAUGGACCAAGCACUUAUAAAUUGUGUCCACUGGUAGGAAUGGAGUCAUCAUCUUCUUAGAAUAAAAGUUCAUGCCAACAAAGCUGCCAUCCAAAUCAACAAGGGGCCCUCCAGCCAUUGUCUGGAACAAAAAAAUAAUGUUAGGCUAAGCUAAGCCAAGCAUGAAAAAUAACAAGUUCAUAAAGAAAAGAAAUGUUAAUGCCCCAAAAGUAAGUGCAUGCAUUGAUAAAUUAUGCCACCAAUAUCAUGAAACAAUUAAUUAUUUCCAGUAUGUUGAGAAGAGGCAAGAGAAAUCAGCAGCGAACCAUAGUGAGUUUACACGUGGAGAUCAUAAGGUGUUUGCGUAAAUCUCCACUGGGCUCAUCAUUCACUGUCCCAUACAAGGCCUUCAAUUUGCCUGUCUUGAAGCAACGCCCUAAAGCUACUACCUUACACCCAAAAUGUAUGAGGUGAGCAAAAUGUGCAGCUCGAAAACCAGGGUAAUGACUGAUGUUGACAACAGCAACAUUGUAAUUUAAGUCACAGUGCACCAACCACCCAUCGGCACUUCGGUUAUUUGGAAGGCUCACUUCAAUCUGUAACGAUAAAAGCAAAACAAUAGCACAGAAUUAUUGCCAUACAUUAAAUAGGCAAGAAAUGGAAUACAUAAGAAAUUGCAAUACCGACCAUCAAGCCUGGAAAAAUCUUGCACCCAUUAUCAAUAUCCAGAGAUCUAACCAGAGUUGCUGAAGUUAGGACACUUGUACCACAUCCCUCGUUUUUGACAACUAUGCCUGUGCAGACAGCAUGAAUCCGAUCUCCUGCUUAAGACAACACUUAAAUCUUUAUAACUGAUGAUCAGAUGCAAAUAAGGAAAGCUGAUUUGUAUAAUCACCAUUGAAUGAAGCCAGUGAGACAACAGUUUCAGAUAAAUUUGAAACAACUUCUUGACUGAGUUUACUAAAGGUGCCUUGACUAGAAUUACUUAAGCUGCCAAAUUCCUCUUCAAAAACAUUGUACAACCACAGGUUUCCUAGUCAAGGAGCAUUGUACAACAAAAUUAUUACUGUUAUAAUAUAAUUGCAUAAAUACAUGCAAAAGAGGUACAACUGGCAAAAGUGAAUCAAUAACUCGUCUUUUUUCCACUUUUGCGAGCUUUCUUCUUUUUAUUCGAGCUUGAGCUGUCACAUAUUCUGAUAGACAUCUUUCCAACCCUGAAGCAGAAAGAUAAGAUCCCAAUAUUGAGUAAUCAUCAGCAUGGGAGUUAUUUGUUUUUGUUUUAUUUUUGUGCACAAGUAACUCGUAAAAUUGUAAACUGUUUUUAUACGUUUAGGAGUGACUCUGCAGCACAUAGGUAUACAUGUAACAGAGUAAGACAAGACAAUCUAGUAAAAAACUUGGAACAUCAACAUGGUGCUCCAAAAAUCUGCACCAGCAAAAGAAAAACUAGCCCUUUAGUUCAAAUGAAUAAGACCUGAAAAGUUCAUAUAUAAGAUAAAUAAGGUGAUUUGAACUGGAGGUACGGGCGAUACUAAUUUACAAUGUGGGCAAUGAUGAAAGCAAGUUCAGAAUAACUAUUUAUCUACUAAACGUAGCAUCGUCAUGGUAAUGUAUAAAUUUGCAGCAGAUUAAAAGGCCAACUAAACACCCAUAAUCCAACCAGAUCUAUAACCCUGAAAGCUAUAUAGAUGAGCAGAAUAGUUACUAAUGAUACACUAGCUCACAAAAGAAGCCCAAGGUAGAAAUAACACAAGAAAAGUACAGAUUGGCGACUUGAUGUCAAGCAAAAGCGGUAAUUUCUAGCAGAAGUGGAUUUUGCUCCAGUGCAUUUCAAGCAAAAGUACAGUAUGCAACAAUGAAAUGGUCAGCCAUAUAAUUAGGCAAUUAGCAAUAACAGUGCCCCCAGACCUUAGCAAUGUCUUGAUCAGUACAACUAGCAAUGUGUCACAAUGACAUUGUCAGCAGCAAGCCAGUAUAUCAUUUGCAAUCGCAAAGAAGCCUCACUGACAUGGGGCAGCGCACAUGGCAAUCACAUAUCAACUUAUAUGUGUUUUUUGUUCCUUUCUUGCUUGCUGUCUAUAGUUCAGCAGAUAGACAGGGGAUGCCAAGACAGGGAUGAAUGACUCAGGACAGGGAGUGUCGUUUAGCAGGGGCGGACCCAGUAUAGGACAUGGGUGUACAUGUGUACAUCCAAUAACUGUUGCAGAAAGAUCGAAUUUAGUAGGUAAAAUCAUGGUCAGAUCCGAAUACAAAUACCAUACGUUAGGGUUUUGGGUGUUUGAUUUCGCGCAGCAGGAUGGGAAGGGAGGGGAAUAGGCAGGCAUACCCCUGUCGGAUGUUCGUCACUGGCGAAGUGCCCGUCGCUCGACGAACAACGGGCAGCGCAACUCGCCCUGUCGUCGCCGCUAGGAAAGGAAGACCGAGGCCGAGAGAGAGAGAACAGAGAAGAAGAUGAGCGGGAAGGGUUAGGUUUCGGUACUCUGUUCAUUCACGCCCCUUCCCUACACGGGGUUGGGUUAUGCCACAGGUCGGCGUGGUGGCCCAAUGGGCUUAGCCCAGUUCUUGACAUGGCCUCUGGCCCGAGCAUUACAAAGGAUACUUAGCCAAGUUCAUGUGACCCUGUAGCCGGAAAACCUAUGCAUCUUCCGGGAGUUUUUUUUCCAAAGGAACUUCCACUUUAAGAUUCGUAUGAGAAUAUGAACCAACACUUGCUGAUCUUUUUCUUCCCCCGCUUCUUCUCCUCCGCUACAGGAUGAGGUUGGCCCGGCAGCGGCGGCGGUUCGGCCGUGGCAGCGAUACGACGCUUGGGUGGUGGUCGAGGCUGCCACCACCACCGGCGGUAGUGGUGGAGUUAGGGUUAGGGUUCAGGGUUUUCGGGGAGCUCCAGUGUCUGUCAGGCUUAGAGGAGGAGGUCAAGGCCGGGGGGGUAGGUCUGGCGGUGGUGACAGUUGGGCCAGCUGCGAAGGUGAGGCGGCGCGAGAGCGCCGCCAGCCAGCUAGGGCAGGAAAUCCAGCGGGCGAUGGACGGCAAGCUUCGGAUUAGGAAUGGUGGGGUGGGGAUGGCAGUGGAGGGUAGGAGAACGGCGCGGUAGCGUGGCAGCCGCCGGCUGGGGUAGAGGACGAGGCGACGGCGAAGGCGGGGAGCGUGGGGAAGAAGAUGAGGAAGGGGAAAAGAUGGGCCUCGAUGGGUCAGAAGUUUCAUCCCUUAUGGAAGGUAGAUAGGAGCCCCUAGCCCUGAUAGGAGGGUGCUGCCGCACCAGCUGGACUCGAGUUGCAGCUGGGCAGGGGAGCGUGAAGGGCGGUGCACGGGCUGACAACGCGGAGAGCGGCGGGCGUUGGGGGAGCAAAGGGAGGAGAUGGGUCACGGGGAGGAAGAAAACCGCAACAGACGCUGUCACAUGGGCCGAACCGGUUCGACCGAUUUCGUUGGAGAGAGGGGAAAGACUCCAUAAUUUUAAAGUCCAUCGGCCUAGAAAUCUAAAAUAAAUUAAUAUUUCAACAUAACAAAUUUAACAACUUUAAAAAAUCAGACUAACAUUCGAAAAUAACAUAAUCAACAUUUUUCAAAACAUAUAUCAAUAUUUUGUAGAUAGUAGUGCAGUCAACAUUUUUUAUAGGCUAGAACAGAUCCAACAUUUUCUAGAGCAAAGAUCAACAUUUUUGAAAUGCUACUUUUUUAUUUCUUCUUCUUCCCCAAAGUCGGUAGCUGGAGGGCCGCCGUGGCAAGCACAAGCACUAGCAGCGCGUGGUGGAGAUAGAUGACAUCGAUAGGUCACAGUGGUGGAUGCGAUGGAGAUCAACGCUCACAACAAGCACGGGUGGUGCAUGGUGGAGGUGGCGCUAAUGGACGGCAACAAGGGCGGGACGUGCAGCGAGAACGAGCUGUCCAAAUCUGAUAGAAAUAUUUAUUAUUUUUUCUAAAGUAUUACCUUAACAUAAUAUUUCAAUUUUCACCUCUAAAACCUUUUACCUUGUAAAUAAUACUUUUAGAAUAUCAUUGAAAUCAAAUAGAUAUAUACUUCUUUCAAGAUAAUAUAAAAACAAUAUAAAGAUUUUUUCUUUUAAUGAUGGUUCUAGAUAAAAGAUUUUUUAACAAAAAUAUCGGCAUCGCUACAUAAAAAAGAAAGUGAACAUUUUUUAAAUAUGAUAUUAUAAAAGCACUAGUUAUUAUUGUCAUCUGGCUAGCGCAACCACACUGUGAUCUAUUACAUUUUUAACAAAGACAACCAACUAGCAACUUCCUUAUCACUAAAGUUUGAGAGUUGCCAUGUUAUCUCCCGAAAUAUUUGGUGACCCGUGGAACGUAUAUUUUAGUUAAAAAUUUAAAAAUGUAUUUAAACAAACACAACUUGCAAAACAUAUGAAUAUUAUGUUCUUCUAUAUAUUUUGUCAUCAGAUGAUCUACUCAUAGUAAUCCUUGAGUUUCCUAAUAAGAGAUAGUUGAAAGUUUAUCUCACAAAGUGAAAAGCACAUAUUGAUUGUCUAUCCGGAUAAAAACAAAAGAAAUUCACACGUGCAUUUUAUGAUGUCUGACAUGCACAAACCUUUUCUUUGUUCCAUUUGGCCCUUUCUUUGUUUCACUUGGUCCGAGUCUGCCCUUCCUAGCCUACAGAAUAUUUACCUUUUUAUCUUUAGCCUUCAAUUUUGCUUCGAGCUCAUCCACCCAGAGGCACGCUUGUUGUGUGAACUUCAAAUCAUAUGCCAAUUCAUCCAAUGAGAUGAUUGUACCAAUCAACUGCCACUUAUUGUGCGAACUUCAAAUCAUAUGCCAGCUGAUCCAAUGAGGUAAUUGUACCAAUCAACGAGCCCUCUAGAUCAAAAAUAGUGGCACCAAUUAUUUGUCGCUUGGCUACCUCCAUUUUUUCUUUGGUUACCACUUCAAGACAUACUACGGCUAGACAAGAUAGAGCAAAUUUUCUUUUACUUUCAGAAACAACCUUCUUCAACCUUACAUCUGAAGCUUUGUAGCUUGGAGAACUGCAAAAAUAGCAUUUUUCUUUAGCACAACUGCAAAUGCAAGCAGUUUUAGCCAUACACAUGCCCUUAUCAUCAGCAUAAAGAUCUUGAAACAGUAGAAAGGCAUAGCUAAAUAUUAAUACGGCACAUAGGAAAUAACGUGAGAUCCUAGUCUUCUCUACUCUCUCCAAUCAGUGAAUUGGAUGAAUACAAAAGGAUUUUGCACUGCAUUUUGCAGCUUUUCUGGAUUUAUGUUGCUAUUUUUUAUAACCAAAGUACAUGAUCAAGGUGGCUAUAGUGGCUCUUGAAAACUAGCCCACAAUGACCAGCUGAGUACACUUCUUAACUUCUAGGACAAAGCUUGAGUGCUUGAUUGAAAGUAAAGGACUUGGACAACACUGCCAAACAAAGUCUAAUAGACUUUUCUGACUCUACUCUGAUAAGCCAACAAAUAAAUCUUCAGAAAUGGAAGCAAAGGCUAAACCAAAUAGGGGUUAUUAUUCCUGAAACCAUACAAGGAAAAACUGAGUAGUGAAUUAGUUAGAGUACUUUACAUUAUAGUGCUUGACAUGAAGUUAAACCCACUAUAGCCCCCUUCUACUUCUGCAACUGUGAAAAUCUCAUCCCUUCUUGGUUCACAUAACAAAGAAGGCAUCCUCAACCAGCAUUCAUCAUGCUCAAAACUAACUAGGGAGAUUUCAACCACAACUACCGUAACCAGCCGCUUCUAUUUUAGCGAGAUUUCAACCACAAGUACCAUAACCAGCCGCUUCUGAUUUAGCGAGAUCUUAACCACAACUACCAGAACCACCCGCUUAUACUUUAGCCUUUGGGGCCGGUAAAGGAUGAUGUGGCAGGGCAGGGCAGAGUUGGGUGGUAUGGCUGAGCUGAUAAAGUUACAUCAAAUUCUCAAAAUAUUCUUUAAAUUUAAGUCAUAACAUGCAAACCGAUAGGGAAAUCUCUACUCACAUGGUGAGCUUCAUGGUUCAAAUUCAACAGGUUUUAACAGGUUUGCUACCAAGUAGUAGUCUAUGAAACUAAGCCAGGUUUGCUAUUAGGUAGGGGCAUGGAGAUCAUAAACUAAGAAUCCAAUAGCUCAAAUUAGAUAGGUUCUUGGCAAAUUUGGAGGUUCGGGACUGAGAUGCAUUAAGGUCACAUUUCAAUCGUGCAUGGCACCGAAAAGCAACUAGGGCCGUGGUACCCUGCUGGAAGGAUAGGACCAACAUGGCUCAGGCAUAGGCCAUCUGUUAAUGAACAAUGUAUUAAUAAUUAAUCAAUGAAUUAUUUAUAAAAUAAAGCAAGCAGAUCAUAUCGAGGAACUUCAAAGAAUACCUGUUUGGCUUCUUGUAGCUAGCCUCAUCAACAUCAGACCUACGAAGAGCACAAAAACUAAGUGAGCUGAAGAUCACAAGUAGAAGCUUGGGGGCACUUGACUGGCUUAUGCAUUGUAUUUGGCUCUUAGCUUAUUUAGGUACCGGAACUUUAGCGAAAAGUCAGCCAACCAUCCCCUUAAGAAUAGGAUAAUAUGCCCAAACAAGACAUGAAUUGCUGAUAUGGUUAAAAGAAAAUGUAAAAAUAAGAGUUUCCAACAAAAAGUAAUACAAACCAAGAUAGAAUCACCAAGUGCUUUUAAUGAUGGUUCUAGAUAAAAGAUUUUUUUAACAAAAAUAUUGUCAUCGCUACAUAAAAAAGAAAUUGAACAUUUUUUAAAUAUGAUAUUAUAAAAGCACUAGUUAUUUUUAUCAUUUGGCUAGCGCAACUACACUGUGAUCUAUUAAAUUUUCUAUAAAGACAACCAACCUGCAACUUCCUUAUCACUAAAGUUUGAGAGUUGCCAUGAUAUCUCCCGAAAUAUUUGGUAACCUGUGGAACAUAUAUUUUAGUUAAAAAGUUAAAAAUAUAUUUAAACAAACACAACUUGCAAAACAUAUGAAUAUUAUGUUCUUCUAUAUAUUUAGGUCAAGAAUGGACCCAAAUGAUACUAGUACUAGGCAGAUCGAAUGUAGCCCAUCAACAAUCUUUCCCAAAUGGCAAACAUAUCUACAGGUCAAGCCGAUGACUAGUCUUGUACAAAGAUCACAUGGAAAAUAAGAAUACAAUUGAGAGAAGAGAAGGAGCUUUAGAGGUCACCUCCGUGACCCGAAGUUAGCGGUGGGGGACAAGGUCGAUGGACGGUGGCUGGCGGCGCAAGCACCCGAGAUCCGGCGUCGAGGGAAGAGAAGCGGGUGAGGCGGUGCCGAACCGAGGGAUCGGAGGGAAUUGCAGGGUAGAGUACCGCCAGAUCUGAUUAUUCGCCGCCACCAGCGGGGAAAAGGGCGAAACCCUAGGCUAGACUAGGCGAUGGGAAGAUAGGGGGUCCAAGAGGCGGUGCGGGCAACUUUUCCAUGUCUUCUUCUAUAAUUAAUAUAAUGUAAUAUAGCUGGCGCAUUGCGUGGCGGCUCGGGAUUGGUGAAAUCUGACAGGAGAAGUUUGAUUUUUUUAAUUUGUGUUAGUUAAAUUAAAUAAAUUUGUUCGUGUUGCGUGGCGGCUCGGGAUUGGUGAAAUCUAACAGGAGAAGCUUGAUUUUUUUAAUUUAUGUUAGUUAAAUUAAAUAAGAGCCUUGUUAUGGUGGUUGUACGAUACCAUCGUCAUGAAUCCAAUAGCUGAGAAAUAAGAGGUACUUCGAGGUACCUGUACUUAAAUUGGUGGGUUCGGUACCAAAUAAAGUGGGAUCAGUACCGAUUUUAAUUAUUUUUAAAAUUCAUAAAUUUAAUUUUUAAAUAGCAUUUGCAGAUCAACGGCCACAAAAAUUCAGAAAAAAUGGGUACCGGACGGUACCUCCUGGUACCGUUCAACCACAAUAAAAAUCCUCAUUAAAUAAACUUGUCACAUGCCACUUUGGUAAACUUUUUGUUCUUUUGAAAGGAAAGACUUUCAUUAAACAACGACCAAACCUGGCAUGUUUACCAGUUACAAACUCGUAUAUAUGCCGAAUUUCGGUUACGGCGCAGUCUGGGCGCGAAGCAGAUCCUCUACCUUGUUGACACGUCAGUUAUUAGCAUAUAAAAUAUACAUGAAACUGACAACGCAUAAUCAAUAUUGUAGUAUUUUUUUUAAAGAACACUAAUUGUAGAUAGCAAAUCAUUUAGACAAGUAGAUAGCAAAUCAUUUAUUUUGAAAUACUGAACCCUACCAUAACUAUUACAUAAGGUCAAUCCUGCAUCUACUUCCCUGCCGUUCAGAUUAUUAGGCUGCAAGGUAUUUAAUACAUGUAUGGACCAUAAAUCGUACUAACGAUUAAGCAUGAAUAUGAUCUUUGUAUUUUAUUUUGUUGCUUGUUGAGACACAUGACAAUACUUGUUCACAAAAGUAUCCGGUUGAAAGAAUUGACUGAAUCUUGCGUACAUAGGUGGUGAUUGGUUGCUUGGCUUAGUCCAAGCUUGACAAUGAGUUAGCCAUGGCAAGCCUUCGCCUGGCUAUGCUAGUACUAUACCUCCUUGUUUGGUUGUUGUGCUAAGCUUAGCCUGGCUUACGAAGAUCGUGCUGGUUGAUUGGCUUGCAUUGGGUAUAGCCACCUCCUGUGCUAUGCAGCGAGUUUACCAUGCACCUGUGUCCUCCUAGACAUUUCACCCAACACCUUGAGCGCAAGUACAUGAAACACGUUCAUAACUCAUAUCGAAGUAGUAAAUCUAAUUAUGUAGCUCUUACUGUUGUGCAUGCAUAUGCUCUAAAGACUGAACCUUGACACAGGCAAACCAAAAGGAAAUUACGCUAUCUCUGUUCACACACGCGAAGGAAAGAAAAAUAAAAAAGAACAGAGACGGAAGGUUGCAGAUCGAGAAUUACAAAAUUGAACCCACAUAACUUUAAAAUUGACUGAUGAGCAUCAAAAUCCAAUUCUCACAUGGUGAAUCGAAUCUAGGCACAACCAAAAUUGGAUUCAUCAUUGCUUCUCUGCGUGCUGCUUCGAGGAGCAGCAGCUUCAGUGACCUGGCCGCGGAGUUGGAUUUGACGGGGUCAUCACUGGGCUAGUGUUCCCUCCACCGAGAUGAAGAACACGGCGCAGAGCACAGUGACUCAGUGAGCGCCACCGCGGGGAGCUGUCCGGCCACGAGACCGACGAGGAUGAUUGGCACCAAAGCGACCCACGGCAAUGCGCUCUCUGACCGAUGGUGGGACCUUGCUCCCCGUGUCGGAGUCAGAGCAGCUCAGCCUAGGCGUCUUGGCCGGCGACUCUGCUCCCGAAUUGACGAGACUAGGCCGAGGCCGCACAAAUCCAGCUCCUGUUUAUUCGUCUCCGGUAGCGGCCGCCGACGUCAAUCUUGAACAGCGCCACUGACGCGAGAGUCGCCGCGACCACAUGCCGCUUGCUCUAAAUCAUCAGCAUCGCCGGCGCUAGGACCCCGCCCACCGCGAGAAGCUCCGGCCGGAUGCUGAAGGCGGCGCCUUUGGGACGAGUCAGAGCCGGCACCGUCGUGUCCUACCGAGCCACCGAAAGCGGCAGCCUUUGCUGGGGUGCCAGCCCCGCUGCUGGCGCAGAAGGUCGGCGGCGGAGGCAUGGUGGUGGACUGGUGAGGAGAUGCGGCACACGGUGAGGAGACGCAGUGAUGUGAGCGGAACUGAGACCUUUUGCGCCAGCGAUGCUUGUGCAGCCUGCAUAAGCUGGAAACGGAGGGGAUUUGUGUUCCUGCAUAGCUCCAUAUCCAUCCUAACAAUCACUACCUAGCAUUCAGUAGGCAGAAUUGGGGGCUUUUGAGCCUUACUAGACAGAAUGAAAUAGCAGUAGGCUGUGCAGCAGCUGUGCCUGCAAAAAUUAAUGCCAAUAUUAGCAUGUCUUGAACUGAUCAAGAUUAUUAGAAUAUCAGGAACAUGCUAGCAGAGAACUUAAACUGUAAAACAACUGAUAUUAGUAGAAUAAUUGAACCUUCUGUUCAAUUUGCUUAAUAUCUCAUCACAUUCUGAAUCAUAAAAAUCGAUCAUGAAAUUAAAACACAAAUCUACGUUUCAGAUAUGCAAGCACCAGGAUGUAAAAAAAAAUCAGAAAUUGGAAGAGAGAAGAUCUGCACCAUCUUCACUCUGUAUUUUGAAGUAAACAAAGAAGCAAGGAGCGCAAGGCAUUCACAGAAGCAAGCACCGACGCCACCUACUUUGCAAUAUGUGAAGUGGAGCUGAUCAGCUGAAUGCCGACGGGUCGAGACACUGCAAGAAACAAACUACUCAGCGUGAAAUCUAGCAAGCUGUGCAUCCAGAGAAGGGCGAGGCGGCGGUGGAAGAAUCAGCGCAGCCGAAGGCUUCGGCGCUGGGAAGGCGACUGGACGCCGGAAAGAGUCGCCGCGCCCUUCACCUCCCGCGCAGUCCGCUACUCCGUUCUGCUCCCGCACUGCCGCCGCGUUUAGCAGCUUCCGCGGCCGCACCGCAGCCGCCUUGCUCAUCUCAUGCCGCAGGGGAUGCAUCGUGUGGUUGGGGGAAGAAGGGAUGGGGGCGAGAGAUUGGAGGGUACCGGGGCAAGACGGACGGGGAGGAACCGAGGAAGAAAUUUUGGCGUGGAAGAUUGGCGUGCGAGCAUGCUCUUUGCCGCCAUCAACGAUUCCGCCUUCCGCACCAGAUCGAGGAAGGCCGUCGUCGGUUGGGAACGAGGGCUACAACGCGGCGAGGACUGGCGAUACGAUCUGGGACAACGAGCCUUUGCCGGCGUCGCGCGAGACGACGACACCAUCCGCUCUCAUCAUUGUUGAUGGUCCACGUAGGACGGAUUGGCUGACCUGGUGGUAUAUAGAUAUCUUCUAAAUACCGUUGUAUAUGCCCUUCUAUGUUAUAGUUGGUACUCAAAUUUAAUAUUUCAUAUUGCAGAUAACUAGGUUUUAUUUUGGCGACAGAGGGUCUAACCCUUCUUGCAGGCCUGAAAAAUUCUACAACAAAUGAACAAAUGAUCUAUCACCAAAAGACAAAACGACAGACAUGGCAAGAAUAAAUUUGCCACAUGCACGUUAAUUUUAUUCAUGGAGAAAAUAUCAUGUCAUCAACUAUAUACUUACCAUAGCAUUCUAUAUUUUCAUGCAGGACUCUGGAUGUGCAGAUGAUCGAAGGAUGAACGAACUACAAGAUUUGCCCACAAGAGAAGUUUACUAUUUCAGAUUUCAUGUAUAUUUUAUUUUGGUCUGUGAACAUUGUGUUGUUGUAUUGUGUCAUUUUCUUCUCUGUAUAGAAUCUUUUUAUUUAAUGAACAUAUUUACUAUGUUGAACUCUUGUUGCACGUGUCAUGCUUGAUGCAUAUAACAUUUAUCACCUUACCAACAGUGAUCAGCAAAAGCCAAUUGAAAAUACCGUACCCAUAUACGAUUCCAAAAAAGCACAUAUUCUGUAUUAUACAGCACAUAUAUGCGUUGUUGAAAUACUUUGGUAGGUUGCAAAAUCCACUUACCAACGCAUUUAUAUGCAUUUUAUAUAGGACAUUACAACGCCACAUAUGGCAACGCAUAAUAUGCGUUGGUAUAGAUCCACUAGAAAUUUAUGAAGUUGUGACAGUCUGACUGUAUGGGGCCAGCUAGUGCAGUUCACUGAGGAAGUACAUGUUUUGUGUAUGCAUGUGUGUGUGUGUUUGUGUGUAUUAUGGCUGCUAGCAGCAUAUAUGCAGUUGUAAAUGUUAUUAUUCUCUAGUACUUCCCAUGGAUACUAUGAUCGUUUUGUUGAACCAUAAUCAAUGUCUUUAAUAAACAGAUUUCAUUCUUAUUUUGCUUUGAUGUUCGGUAAAUAAUUUAUCCGUGUUGCAACUUCUUGACUCAAAUUUUGUACAUCGAUGAGCUUGUUUUCACAAUUGGAGAACUCAAGUUCUGAGGGGUACAUGGAUCUCCUUUAGCUUCGUCGUGCUAGUGCAUCACAUAUGUGGCACAAUUUGGCAUGUGAACUCCUGUUUAUUUGCUCGUCAAUAAUGAAAUGGUCUAUUAGAAGGUACCUUUUUACUUGAAUGUUGUAAAGUGUCGAGUACCUAAACCGUUGUCCAUUUGGCCCACGGCUCACGGCUCGUGGGCCAGCCCACGGCAUGGCAUUUUGGCCCGGCCUAGGCACGGCAUGGUGGCCUUGCAGGCCGGCCCGGCCCAACCUACACCACAGGAUGGGCUUGGGCCGCUGCCUCAACCCGUGGGCUGGCCCGGGCACGGCACGGCCUAUUUAGCCCAUGGACUGCAACGGGCGGCAUGGCCUGUUUAGGCCCGUUUGGCCCACCUCCAUGUCCAUCUAAAACUAGCGGCCUGCUCCUCCCAAACCAACCCUAUCUGCUUCACGGCACCUUCAUCCCACCAACUGCCGCCUCCCUCGCGACUCACCCUCUCCCUCGCAACUGCCACGUCCCCCUAUCCCCCCUCCGCUUCCUCGCAACUCCCCAGCGGCCUCCUCCCACGGCCCUCCGCCGCCUCCUCUCGCGGCGGAGCCGGCCACCUCCUCCCGCGGCCCUCCGUUGCCUCCCCCUGCAGCCCUGCCCUAGCGGCCUCCGCCUGCCCCUGGCCACCUCUUCCCACGACGGAGCCGGCCACCUCCUCCCGCGGCCCUCCACUACCUCCCCCUACCCCUAGCGGCCUCCGCCUACCCCCGGCCGCCUCCUCCCGCGGCCCUUCGCCGCCUCCCCGCGGCCCUUCGUCGAUGCAAGUCCCUGCUGCUAUAUUGUUGCUCCAAUUUGGUGGUGAUUUUGGCGUGAUAUGGUGGUGGCCUCGCCGAUUUGGGGGAAGUGCAAGCUGCGGUGGGGAUUGGGGAAAAAGGAGGAGCUGGAGCCGUGCCGCGGGCCGGCACGAGCACGGCCAGGCCGCUAAGGCCUGUCGGGCAAGCGGCCCCGCACGGCCCGCCUAAGAAGGCAGCAGGCCGGGCCUGGGCCGCUCCUUCGUCACGUGGGCUGGCCCGGCCCAGCACGGUUACUGUGCGGGCCUAAUCAGGCUCAUGCCAGGCCGGGCCGGGCCACCUGUUUGGCCAUCUAUGACCAAGGGUACCCGCGCAGGUGGCCUCAAGAGCUCAAACUUGGGCCACGCGGUCCAACUAGCGCACAUCGGCUGGUCCACGAAUGGGGCAAGGCAGCCCGGGUGGUCCGGGAUCCGACCAUCAGCUAGGUCAAGCGCCCGAUCAGUCACCCCGGUCAACAAAUGGUUGAGUUCCGCCACGCUGCACCGCCACGCCCCGCUAGCGGAUAGGGCAAUAAACACCCCGCUGCACCGCCACGCGGUCGACGUGCGCCACGGCGUACGGGCACCUGCCCCCGCACGAUUCGAACAGGGGCGGCACCCAUACCCUAGGCGCUGACGGAGGCAACAUGUCACACCCGAUUUUAAGGACAAAAUCGAGUGCAUUAAAUACAUGUGUGCCAGGAUCAAGUUACACACAUGUACGACAAUAGUGAAUAACAAAGACAGUGCUAAAACGAAUAAAGAGAGUAUUAACCAUUAUUACAUGACCGAAAGUCUCAAGUAAACCACAAAGUCUAAUUAUUACGCAGCGGAACUCCAAAGACGACGACAACUCCACAGGCAGCUGACUGAAGAAACGUACGCCUAGAACUCCUCAAAGUCGUGUAGAUACUCCUCUUCCCAAUUAGCUUGGUCUGAACAGCGGUUUUGCAAGGGUGAGUACACUUAUGGUUGGUACUCAACAAGUCGUGGGGAAUAGUGUAGUGUAAGGCUAAUUCAAGGUAUGGCUAAGGCAUAAUUAGCAUUCGCUUUUAAUUAAGUUGGUCAAGUUUUAUUAGCAAUUAACUAAGUAUAAGUUCAUACCACCCGAAAUUAAACAUGAUCAUAAAUAAAGUAAGCAACAUAUGCGACGGCGAGCGGCGGCGGUUCGCCGGAGUUGGCCGAAACGGCGCUCCGGGGCACGGUUUGGCGCGCGGAUUUCACCAGAAGCAAGAGGAGAACACGGCGAACUCGUUUUGGGGGUCCUUGACGACCGGAGCUCACCGGAGGCGGUGCUUGACGGCGGGGAAGAGGCGGCGGCGCUUGGAGCUCGGGCGCUAGGGUUUUGGGGGCUUCGGGUGCGGGUGCUUGAGGCCGAGAGGGGCGGCGGCUUAUAUAGGGUGGAGGCUUGGAGAUAGAGCGCCCCGGGUUUAAACUCCCCGAAGGAUUCGGAGCGGGGGCCGACGGGUUUCCGGAGGCGGCGGCGCGUCGGUUGCGGGAGGGAGUUCCGGCCGGAUACGGUCGGAGGAAGGGGAUGACGGGUGGGGCCCACCCGUCAGGCCGGAGGAAGGGAGCGGUAGGCGGGCCGGCGUGACUUCGUGGGCCGGCGCGCGUGUUUGCGGGCCGCGGGGAGGAAACGAAGCGGCGGGCCGCGCGGGAAAAGGGGAAACGGUGGGCCGCGCGGGAGAAAAAGAAAGGGGGCCGGCGGAGCUGCUUCGCGGGCCGGUGGGGAUGUUGCGGCUGGGCCGAAAGAAGAAAGGGGAAGGGAACGAAUGGAAGAUGCGGCCCAGAAAGGAGAAGAAGAAAAAGAAAAAGAAAGAGGAAAAGAAAAGGUUUUGGAAAUUGAAUUUAAAUUUGGAAAUUCAAAUUUUGAUUCAAACUCAAGCAAUCAAAAUAAAUGCACCAGCAUGAAUGCACAAUUAACUCCUAUGAUGAAUUUAAUUAAAUUAAAGAAAAUGAAUUUAAAUGCCUAGAAUUUAAAUGACACCCUAAUUUGAGCAAAUUUUAAUGAAUUUGAAUUAUUCAAAAUUUUGGGUGUUACACAACAGUCGACGAGGACAGCCACGUUGUGCGCGGGGACGAGGCGUUGCACUACCUGCCCUGUUGACCUGAACCGAUCACUACGACCACCGUAUCCAACCCUCCCGACCUCGGGAGCUAGUGACCGACACUGGCGUGGGGUCGGAGUACCGAUCCGACCACCUCACGACCUGCCACCUACUCUGAUGGGAUGCUACAGGCGCCAGCACACUUGCCGCACGCCACCCUCUACAACGGGGCUUGGCAGAUAGGACUAAGGGCAGUCCCAAUGGAACAUUGAUGAUAGUUUCUAUCCCUCUUAAUUGUCAUGCCAACUAAGCAAUUUGCUGAUGUGGCAGUAGAUUUAUUAUGGAGAGAGAGAAACCAUUUCUUGGAGAGGAAACCAAGUCCUCACGCAUACUGAUAGGUCAAGAAACCAAUGAAUAUGCAUUGGGGAGACCAAGUAGUUUCUUCUUGCUUACCGUCGGAUCCUUUGUGCUUGCACCGCUUCUACCCAUCACUCGAGCUCCUUUACAUAAUGUAUAGAGGAUCUGGUACUAGAAGGGAGAAUGAUUGGUUGGAUUUUUGUUUAGACUCUAGAUAAAAAAAUUGCAUUAUGAAGGAUGAUUUCUUGAUACAAUAUCCUAGACUCUGGAAACUACGAUGGUUUCUCCCAUUGGGAGUGCCCUAAGGGCAAGUGCUGCCUUAGUAGACAGUCAUGCAACAUGUAAUUAUGAGAUGAUUUAACAAACAACUUGUAUAAUAGGUUAUCUUUUUAAGUUGUCUCAUAAUAAUUCCAUUCCCUUAAUUUGUGCAUGAAAAAAAGAAAUAUUAUUAGUUGCAUACCAAUCACAAUUUGUACAAUGGUAGAGUACUCGUCUCGUAGUCCUAAAAUCAACAUCUUUCUCUCUUAUCACCUUCUCUUCACAUCAGUAAAAAUCCUACAUGACAUUGCAUAAAACGACUUAUGAGACUACCUAGCAGCAGCAUGUACUGCCCUAAUGCGGCCAUAGGCGGCGCAGGACGGCCACGAUACAAGGAUGAGCCAACGGGACUCCCGAUACGAUGGAACGGCGAUGCCCCGACUAGGACCCAGGAGAGCUCCACCAAUGGGCCCCGCAGGACCGACAGACCUGAGGGACCCCUCCUUCUUUCUUGUACCCGGCCCCCGAAGACAUAUAAGGGGAGCUGGGCCAUUCUUCACGGCACGUACGCAUUCCAUUCCCCAACUGCACACUCACUCCCUCACGAGCACCCCCUCUGAGCACACGGCUUGAGGAACACGAACUCACCUCCAAACUGGACGUCGACCAGGGGCACACCAACCUAGAACUCCAAGUCUUCAUGAGUGGCUCCUCCAAGUUUCCUCGUAGCAGCUCCUGUAUGGCACUAUCUGAGCAGCAACAGGAGGGCACAGCAAGGGGGUUGAAAGGAAAAAGGUGAGUACACUUGGAGGCGUGUACUCCGCAAGUGGACUACAAAGCUCAUUUUUUAAUGUUUGUCAAGUUUUAAUUAAGCACCUAGAACCAUUAGUGUGAUAAGCUUCCAAAAAACCCAACAAGGCACAUGUUACCCCACCUGUCCUGAACCUAAGGUCAAUGUCUCAUCAUCCAAACCCAACUCCCAAACCACAGACACCAUCUGUGAUUCUCUCAAUCCAACUAACCAUGUGAGGGUCCAUACCACUCUUGACCAUGAGCACAACUGUUAUAACAAUUUUUAACACUUUGCAGAGGUUGUACAACUUUACCCACGAGUCAUGAUACCCAUCAUGACGAGGCGGCCAAACCUCUUACACAUUACCGAGAUGUGUUGGCAUGUGUUCACUACGACGCCUUCCAUUGGUUCUCCAGCGCGCAUUGACCCAUCAAGGCUCUUAACCAUCACUGCGUCGAGCCAUGAUUUAUGGGACGCUGCCCUAGUCGGCGCCUACCCGCUCAACAUAGAUCGUUGGAUUACCCAACUUACUCAGCCAAGACCAUAGCCCAUAUAAUUCUCAUGGUUGUAUGAUUAAGUUAGCAAGGGGUUUUAUGACAUCAUCAUGAAUUUUUAGGAAAUGAAAAUAUAUAAAUUGGAAUUUUUGUGAGUUUUUUUGGUGAUGACGUCAGCAAGGACCUAGGUGCAAUUAUCGAUAGACAAUAGGGGGUAGCUGGUAAGUAUUCCUACGACUCAAAGAAAUUUUAGAUUAAUUUCAUAGAUCUUCAGGGGCUAGAUCAUAAGAUUGCCAGGCAAAUCUGACUGUGGUCAAGAUUGCAUGUUGGCCGUUGGAUUUGAUAUGGAUGGUCGGAUUUUAAUGACCAAAGAGGUACCCCUUGUUUUAAUCAUGGCCAUUCAUAUGGGAUCGAGCGGCCUGGGGCGUGCUGCCGGUUCUGGGCCUGGUGCCGCUCGCACAGGAGCCCCGACAAUGGAGUUUUGCCAGAUUACGGAACGACAGCUCUACAACCCACAAGGGACGACGAGACGUGGCGCGCUCGAGAGAGGAGGACACGGCGAGCUUACCAGGGGUAGGGCAAGGAUAAAUCCAUGGCAUGUAAGGUGUACAGCGGAGAGGGACGGAGGAGGUCGGAGCCGUGAGUGAGGGCGGCAUGGCAGCCUUGGUCUGGUGCUCCUGGGCGCUGGAAUUGCAUCGUUGGGAGUCCCAUGACACCGAGAGAGGGAGGAGGAAGUGAGAGCUAGUUCGACUACGGCAAAAGGCAGUGGCAGAGCUCGCUUACCGAGCUUCGGCCAUGGCGGCGUUGGUGAGCAAAUGGUGCUGGGAGAAGGCACGAUAAACGGUGGGGCGAUGUUGGAGAGGCAAAAAGGAGGGAGAUGGAGCUCGGCACAAGAUUUAUUGGGGAAGAAUUGCUUGGAGAAGGACGGAUGGGAGGCAAGAAGAGGAGAUCAAGAGUAGGGGUCUCAGUCUUGAUGGCCUUGAUGGCACUUGUUGCCAUUAAAGGAGGAGAGGAGUAACGGGCGGAAGAAGGGAGGGAGGGGGAAGCGGGGAUUGCGGCAUGGGGCUGGGCGGGGGCGAGGAGGUGUGGUACUACGGGAUUUUGAUGGGGCGAUGGUGUUCGGUGUGGGAAAAAGGGCAGGUGAGGGAGGAGGAAGACGGAGCUGAUAGGUGAGCCCCGCGUUGAAGGGAGAGAAGGGAGAGAGAGUGGGGGAGGGGGCUGGGCUGCUGAUGGGCUACGGCCCAUGCGAGAGAAGCGGAGGGGAAGCAGGUGGAAAGGCUAGCUAAGGAAGGGGGUAGAGGGGGAAGGGAACUGUGCUCGGCCCAACAAGGGAAGGUAGAGGAGAAGGGGGUAGGGGGGAGCGGAGAGGGAAGUUGGGUUGUGGCCUAGUUCGGGAGAAUGGAAAAGAAAAAGAAAACGAACGGGGGAGGGGAGGUGGGCUUGGCCUGUGAGAAGAUAAGGGAGGGGAGGCGGGUUGGGCUGAAGUAAAAGGGAGAAGGGGAGGGGUGGAAAUGGGAUUUAGGCCUCGUAUUAAAAGGGAAUUUGGCCCAAAAUAUUUUCUCAAAAUGGAACCUAGUGCAUAAAAAUAUUUUCAAACAAAACCCUAUGCAUUUCCAGCAUGAAUGCAACACACAAAACUGCAACACACAAGAAGAUAGCAAGUGAUUCUAUAGAAUUCAUAUGAAGAGAUGAUUGGAGACCAUAAGUACUCACUAACAAAUCAUGCAGCUUGUAAAAUAGUAAUGUAUUCAUUCUGAACAUCUUAUGGCUUUCACUAGGAGUAUUGAGUUUUUCCAUUGUCCAACCAAAUCCACUCUGUGUUGGAGUUCUUGCAUCAUUUUUAUCAUGAUAGGUCAUAAAGUACUUGGAAACAAACAGACUAUUCUGAUUUGACUUUAUCAAUAUCAUAGUAUUUAUAGCCCACUGAUCCUUGUCUGAACCACUGUCAUCCAUUUUAACAUCAGAAGAAUCAGAUCUGUACACCAUACAAACAACACUCAUGAAUAAGGAAUUAUUUGAUUGCACAUAAAUUAUUCAUGCAGGAAUAAUGGAAAGUCACACACAUUAUUCAUACAUAACUAAUGAAAACUCACACAACAUACUGAUACAGGAACACUGGUUCAUGCUCCAAGCCAAAUUGGAAGGUAAUUAAUAUGAAUGAAAUGCAAUAUCUACUCAGGCAUAUCAUUUUUAGUCAUCCACUCAUGCUUUCUCUUCAACCAGUCAAAUCUUUCCUCCGGAGUGUCCAAAGUCAUAAACAUUUCUCUUUCAGCUCUCUCGGUAAAAACUAGAGAUGCAACAAAAUUCUCAUUGUGGAUGGAACAGCACCAAAAUAGAGCCACAAUUGAAACAUAGAUGACACUCACUUUUGUUGUGUUCCUCCCCCAAGCCUCAGUCAUUUCAAUAUUCUGUUUGCUUUCAUCCCAUCCUAUACCUAUCUCACAAUGUUUCAGUUCUUCCUAAUACCAUAAUCAGUUUUUAAUUUAUCAUAUUUGUUCUUGAAUUAUUUUCUAGUGUACAGAAUAUCAGUCCUCUCUUUGAACCUUUCUAUCACAUUCUUGUACCCAGUCUUACUCAAAUGUGUGUUUGAAUGAUGUCCUUUGUCAACUUUAUCUGCAAAAAUCUCACACACUAUUCUAGUGUUCUCAUCACAACAAUCAGCCAAGUUGUUACCAACAAAAUCAAUUUCAUGGACAAAACAUAUUAGAACAGGAGAACUAGACCAAAAGAAGUUUUUGAUCAUUAGCCAUACACACAAGUCAUGAGAAGCAACAAACAAACAACUACUGAACUAAUAACAAACAACGAUGGACAGAUUGGCCGUGCUAUCACCGGAUCCGCCAGUUACCCCAUCCGGGCCAUCAGUAGCUUCUAGUGCCGGCCAACCUUCCAUCUACCACCGCCGUGCUUUUUCCCGUGAGAAAGAGAGAGACGAGGGAACGAGAGAAGGGAACAGAGAGGGGAUUGAGAGGCUUUGGGUUAUCCAUUCAGGAGCAAUGGCAAUUUUGUUGUAAAUAAAUACAACAAAGUUCAGGGGCGCUUUGGUCCUUUUUCACGGGGCCGAGGAGGGAGCCACGCAGAGCCACUUUUUUUGUUUGGCUUCAUGCCUUCAACACAAAUCGCAAAACAGCUUCUUCGGCUUCGGCUUUGCCUUCGGAGCUGUUUUUUUACCCCCGUUUGGUAUGCCUUCAGCGAAAGUCUACAAAGGAGCCGCUGCAUAAGCCGUGCCAAAGAGAGGCCCUAAUCUACCACAUUUAUCACCUGCACUGGCUCCACCUUCAACAAGAUAAAUUUAUUCAUCACUAGGUUUAUAGCUGUGCAUUGCCACGGGAGCCUAAAAAUUUUAACGCAAUAAAAAAAAUUAUUACAGGUGUUAUAAUAAUACUUCAAUAAAAUCUGCACAAGGCUGCCAGUGACAACGCAGAGCGGCGGGUGAAAAGUUUCUUGUCCAACCGAACAAAAUGGAAUACCAAGCAUAAUAAGUGAAAGCGGCCAUAAAUUGAUAUGCCAAGAAACAAACUUGGUUAACACAAAUGGAUGGAAACUAAAAUAGAAAAUCUUGAGAACUACACACAUGGAACUUGUGCAACAUUCUUCCUCUUUUCUAGGGUCUACAUAUAAUCUCUCCAACAAGUUACGGUAGCAGCUCUUGAGAUUCAUCGAGUCCUGUCAAUUGAAUUUCAAAACUUAGUGAAACGACUUCACCAGAAAUUGGAAACAAAUGACCAGAAAUAACCAAAAAAGUAAAAGUAUUGCUAUUUUUGCUGCCUAAACCAUGAUAUGAACUUUAUUAAUUGUCUUACAACUAUAGCAUUUUGCAACUGCCUAACCAGCAAAAGAGAUUGACAGAUUGUACCUGAUGGGAAAAGGGAUCGAUGGACAAACUCUGCCUCAAAAGAACAAUACCGAGUGUGCUGCUAAUUAGCAAACUUUGCAUUUUCAAAGUAUGUUAGAUCAAUACAUAAGUUUCUCAAAAGUAAGGUAUAAGUAUAUUAGUCACACUCCAUCAUGUAUUGAAACAACUGAGAGAGGUCAGAUAGUAAACCAGAUAUAGAUUCUGACAUUCUAUAUGUUCAGGAUAUUAUUGAACUUUUAGAAACUAAUAUGUGCAGGAAUAUGCAGUUAGGAGUAGAUAUUAUAUAAAACUAAAUAUAUUAUUUCUGACAGAGAGAACAUAAUGGCGUGCAAGCUUCGGGUGGAAACAAGUUUCUGCAGGGAGUGCCAGGAAGAGGAAAAUAAUCAAGGUUGGAGAGAGAGCCCCUGAUUCUGCAGGAAGCCCUGAAUGAUGGAUAUUUUCACAGAUAUAUGUUUUGUGCUCCGCAUAUGUUUUGGUGCCCAAACAAGCUGCAUGAGCAAAUUAUUGAUUGGUUCUUUUCUAAAAUCUAUGAACAAUCUAUGCAUUCGGACAGAAAGCAAAAUAAUUCACAUGCGCGAGAUUGAUUGAUUUCUAGAUGUUCAGAACUAAAGAAAUGAUCAGCACCAAGAUAAACUCAUGGUCAAUGUGAUCUUCCAGCAGGACCGAAAUAUAUGGACACCAGGGGUCUUCAGUUAUUGAUACCGAGCUAUGAGACCUAAUAUUAUAAAGUAAGCAUUUGAAUUAAAUUAAAACCAACAGUGGGAAGGCCUGCAGCUUACAUGCAAAAAUGAGACUUCACUAAUGAAUAAAUAGUAGUGCUAGCUAGGCACAUUCUUCACUUUAAGAACAGUGCUUGCCAAGAAGCCCUGUAAACAAACAAGCUACAUCUGCCAAUAAUCAGUUUUCCAUUGUAAGAAGAGUAACUCACAUGGAAACAAAUAUUCAGAGAAGUAAAACUGAAACAACAAAAUAGCCUUUACAUGGUCCCAGUGUAAGUACAGGCAACAUAUUGUAUGUAGCGCCUGUUCCAUAUGCCAUUCCUCCUCAUCUUCCUUUGUGAGAGGCCAAAAAUGUUCCGAAGACAUUGGUGCUUCAAAUAACUUCACAUUCACAGAAUUUUUUCUUGCAUUACUAAAGUGGAUAUCAUGGAUAAACCUAUAAAAUUUAAUCAGUAGUCUUACCCUUAUCACAUACAAGAUCAUAUUGACCAGCGAUGCUCGAGGCUCACCAGCAGAAAACCAUCACAUCCUCUGGAUCUUUGAUCAGCGCAGGGUGGAUUGGCGAUCGGACAGCUGGCGGUAGAUGGGCGGCGCUCGGUGGUGGAAACUGUGGCACGCGGCGCCAGAGCGGGGCUGCCUCACCGGAGCGAGCUUGAUCUCAAUCUAGAAGGCUCAAAUUGCGACACGGUGAGGCCCUGGAUCCAGCUGGAAGGCUUGUGAGCACAUCUAGGGUGUUGAGGGCCUCGAUUGCGUGGUGAAGACGGGGCGCGGCUCGGUGAAGCAGCUCGGCGUGGCGGCGGCAACUCCGACGAGGUCGUGCACGCGGAAGAAGGCAUGGGGGCGUACGGGAUCUUCACGGGUAGCUUCCUCACCUCCUCGCAGUGCUUCGGGCAAUAAUCCGAUCAUGAAGGCGGUGGCGAUGGAGAUCGAAGGUGGCGGCACUUGGAUAGGGUUGUGGGCGCGAGGGCGGCUCCGGGGCUCGAGGGUGUGGGGUUUAGGGUUUGGUAAGGGCUGCGGAGGCGGCGGCGGGUUUUAUAGGCCCGGGGAGGUGUCCUUGGCGUGCGGGCCCAAGGUCGGAGGCGACCGGGACUCGAGCUAUCCGGCUCGAUGCGGCGCAGCGGAAGGGAUGAUGGGUGGGGGCCACCCGUCAGCGAGACGCGGGCGGGGCCGGUGCAGGAACGGGUCGGCGUGGAGGAGGUGUUGAUGGGCCGGCCUGCUGGGCUGACUCCUGCGGUACUGCUGCUGUAGAGCCGGGCCGAAAGGAGGAACGGGUCAAAAGAGAGGAGAAAAGAGAAAGAAAGAGAAAGGUUUUCCUAUUAUUUAAAAGGGAUCAAACAAAUGAAUUCAAAUACAAAUUUGAAUCCAAACACCCAAAACUAAUGCACCAGCAUGAAUGCAAUAAACCCCUAUGAUUUAUUGACUUAUUUUUAAAAGAAAUUUAAAUGCCUAAUAAUUUAAUCUGCAACCUUAGAAAACCUUAAAUCCUUAAACAUAAGCAAUUAAUUUCUAGAAAAUUCUAACAAAAGGCUGAAAAUUAGGGUGUUACAAUCUUACGGCUAAUCCACCGAAUCAUGCUAGCUGAAGAGACAGUAAUGUUUGACGUGGCAAGCUGAUCAUCGUGGCAACUAGUACCAGCGAGGUGAAUUGUCACCGUCAGCCAACCAAGCUGCAGUCAAGGCAGAAUGGCCCACGGCCGACUGAAAUCAAGCAUCAUGUGGAUCCAACCGGCCGACCACACGAAGAAAUCAGCUGCAUGCAGCCUCUGCAUCCUGCAAGCGGUUUCCAAGGACCUGACCAGUCGUCGAUCUCCCACUUGCACGCGCACAGUGACCACAUACAUGUGCUCUCCUACAUCGCCCGCCAUCCUUGACUAAUAAUCAUAUCCUACUACUAGCUGAUGAUGAUAUAUAAAGCCAGUGUACGUGAACGUUCGUGUUCACGACAUCCAUCGAUAGCUCGACACAGCACAUCGAUCCACAGCCAUGGCAAAGGUUACCAGCCUCGCCCUACUCGUCCUCGCCGUCGCCGCGGUGUCCAUUCCCGCGCCCGCCGGCGCCGCCGGCGCGGGCAACGCCGCGCUCAAGAGGGCCGCCGAUUUCCUCGAGAAGUGGAAGAAACGGAUCGAGGACGCCAAGGACAGAUUCGAGGCCAUCGACAAGGCCACGGACGGCGAGCUGCUUCCUCGCGGUAACGACGCGGCGGCGGGGUUGUUGCCGAACGCCGUCGCCGUCGACGUCGUCAAGGCCGGGGGCGUGAACUUCUCCGUGGGCGGGGUCGACGUCACCAGCCGGGUCACUUGGACAAGCCGGUGCGGCGGCGACAGCAGCAGCCAGCAGGUGGCGUGCGGCGACCCGCUGUGCGAGAAGUACGGCGCGUGCGACGGCGGGGAUGCCCCGUCGGCGGCGGGACGGGUCUGCAACAGCGCAGCUCCGGCUGGCGUCCCGCUCCGCAAGGGCAAUAUCACCCUGUUCGGUGCCAAGAGCAAGGGAAUCUUUUCUAACAACACGGCGUACAACACGGCGUACGCGUGCCGGCCAGACGCCUCCGGCGACUACUACGCCGUCAUCGGACUCGGCAGGGGCAACAACAUCCUCGCCAGCUUCCCAAAGGAGUGGCCGCUCUUCUCCUACAUCAUCGAUGGCGAUCUUCAAGGCAGCACGGUCUGGCUUGCCCACAACGCGUUCUUGGCCCGGAGAGCGACGGCGGCGCGAGCCGGUAGCAGGAGCAUCACCCUAUUCGGCCCCGUCGGCUCCAACAAUAGCACCUACUCCGUCAAGGUCACCGGCAUCAAGGUCGGCGGCGGCGAGGUCGCCAGCGAGGCGGCCACCGGAAUCUUGAUGACCACCAUGCCGUUCACGUUCCUCAAUUCGUCUCUCUUCGACCACCUCAAGCAGGAGCUCAAGGCGGUGGCGUCACCGGUCAAUGGCUCCGACUUCGACGCCCGAUUCGGGCAGCUGUGCUACCCGAAAGGCACGAAGUUACCGGCGAUCACGCUGUUGUUCGUCGGCGAGAACGCCGGGAUGGAGCUGCAGCCGGAGCACUACUCGUACAAGAAGAGCAACGGGGUCGUGUGCCUGUCCAUCCUGAAGUCGCCGUGGUCCAACGGCUUGUCGGUCAUCGGCAGCAUGGUGCAGGCGGGCAGGCAGAUGACCUACAAACUGGACGACAACACGUUGACGUUCGACGACCCCGCGUCGGCGUCCUCCAAGCCGUCGCCGUCUACUUCUUCGUCGGUGGCCCAGGCGCCGUUGACGCCCUUCUGUCUGUCUCCUGCUUUCGCGGUGCUGCUGCUCGCCAUCAUCAUGUGAAGCUAAUUAUUAGUAAGAGGGAGACCCGGAUUGGCCAGCCGGCGACCAUGAUUCAAACCCCGCGGUGCCACUGUCACCACUAGUAAUAUUGUUGUACUGAUAUGCUUUCUACUCAGAUGUCGUUGUCGACAUUUUGUUUUAAAAUACUGCCAUGCAAAUGUCUUUUUUGAAGUAAAAAAAAGAGUCAUGCAAAUCUCAAAUAGCAGAAGUGAAAAGAUAAACGUUUUUUCUAUUCUAUCUCUUAUAUAAAUUUUAUUUUAAAAUAUCCAAAUAUACAAGUAUAUAUGGUGCAAAGGGAUUAAUUUGUAUAGUACGUAGAUCCAUUUAUCUAAUUUUUAUCCAGCUGACCAGCUCAAAGCGGCUUUCACUACUGGUCCUCUCGGACCUCUCCACCAGACCUCCACCCAACCAUCUUUUUUUUUAAGACUAAUUGAGGCCAAAAGCUAUUUCCCUGUCAAGCUGGCAACUGUUCGAGUCGGGGCGACGAGCAAGUUGCUAGCACGAGGACGACACAGGGUUCAGGGUUGGCUUGGAAAUUAGCGAGGGGGCGAGGGAUCUGCUCGCAGCCUCGCACGCGCGUCAUGGGCGCGACCCCGCAGGAACUGAACCUGGGCAAGUGUGCACGCGUUUCGACUUUGGGUCGUCUGCAUCAGAACGGCAACCGGAAGCUAUUCCAGUUUGCCCCUCGUCUGAAGAUGCUGGACGCAGAGGUAAACCGGAACAAUCUUUGACUGCUUUAUCCGGAAACCUUUAUCCGGGCUUUUUGGGGUGGCAGCAUCUCAGUCCAAUCAAAGCGUUUCGCUGUCCAUGCGUUCCUUUGUGUUUUGAUUACUUUCGCUCCGCUGCCUGUAGAGAAUUUUUAGACAUGCGCUUUCCCACGGUUCGGCAAUGCAAAGCUCGCCAAUGUUCUUGGAAGUUUGCACAGUCUAAACCCUUUUCUCGACGAAGAAGCACUGGUCCCUAUCGCGUUGAACUGGCCGGCCACGUCGCAUCCUUGGACUCGCUGAUCACACGCCACAGUCCGUGUACGCAUUGGAUCGACUGUUGGGUGAUUGGGCGGUCGCAGAGAGAGACUUUCAUCAACGCACAGCGCACAGUCGAAGAGCUCAUCUACAUCUAGAUCGCGCUCUGGUCCUGUCUGAGCAGUGCCGAACGAGCUCCGCGUAGUGCGUACGUAACAGGUGUGUGGCGAUCCUGGCCUCACGUUGACAGGACGGGCGAAAGGUCGUCGUCGGCGAGCUGAUGUGAGGGCAUGGGCGGACCAGGAAAGGGACCUCUGUGCAAGGGGCAGAAAGGAGGCGCUGUUCCUGUCGAAAGCAGCAAGCCAGCAAGCACCUCGGCGUCGCAGCUUGCGAGCAUCCGGAAACUGACGAGAUGGGCUUGCUGUGCUGGCUCUUCGUACGUGGACUCAUGUACAUGACCGGACAAUAACAUGGGUCCAGCUCGCUGUAGGUCCCAACUGAGAAAUAGGGCAACUCAAACAAGAAAAACAUCUGUUUACCAGAAGCACCAGCACUCAUUUACUUCUAGUUCGUGCCUAUUGUCCUUUUGGUCCUCUUUUUCUUGAGGAAAAUGACAUGAUUUUUUUUUUGAAAUUACGGGACUUUAGAUCAUUUCUGGUGCAACACGGUGAAGUGAUUAAUGUGGGGUUCACUGAUACUAUAGCUAGAAAAAAAAACAAAACACACACACACAAGCGACAUCUGUGUUAGUGGCAAGAUUUAAAAAAAAAAACAGGAGAAUUUAACAAGCAACAUGGUUGAAGCGAUGAAUGAUCAUACCCUAACUUUUUUUCCCUCGAAUACCCAGAAGACGGCACAUCAUUGCAUUAAAAAGAAUAUAUAGAGCACAAAACACACACACAACACACCACUAAAGAAAACAAAAAUGACCCGUGACUUCUCCCUUUAAAGUUAAACCUCGACUAUGGCUGUGCCAACCAUGGGACCAGCCAUGACUCAAAGUUGGACCUCAUCCUUAAUAAUCUGAACGACCCUUUGCAAGCGGUGAUACCCGAUGUUUCCAAAAUAUCCGAGCCCCCAAGGAGUUCAAACCAGCCUUCGUAGAACUUGCCACUAACUUAAUAGCUCCAGACCACCGAUCAAAGAACUGCAUGAUGUAGGGGUGACAGGUCGGGGAGACCAAACAGUAUAAACAAGACUGACCAGACUUCUCUUGAGGAGAUACAGGAGACUAUGAUGCGGUGGAUUAUCCCAUCUUCCUGGUCAGAGAGCAGGCAACGCUCUGGAUGUGGUAGUUCCCAUCGUGCUAGGCAGUCAGCAGUCCAACAUUGACUAUGGGCUACUAACUAGAGGAAGAAUUGGCUGUAAUGAUCAUGACUAGUAACGAUAAUAAGUAACCAUCAUCACGCAAACUCCAAAAGCCACAUAUCAAGACAUGUAUCUGUAUCCGGUAUCCGGUGCAUGGUGGAUGCAUCACGGAUACAUAAGUAUUGGGAAAACAAAGAUUUUAAUUGCUGACACAUAUUCGACACUUGCUUGGUGGAUACUUCAUGGAUAAAGCCCCGCCGCCUAGCCACAACCUAAAACUUAACGACAAUAAGACUAAGGGGGCUGUUUCUUUAACCCUGUCACACGUCGGAUGUUCGGAUGCUAAUUAGGAGAACUAAACAUAAACUACUUAUAAAACUAAUUGCAUAACCUCUAAACUAAUUCGCAAGAUGAAUCUAUUAAGCCUAAUUAAUCUAUCAUUAACAAAUGGUUACUGUAGCACCACAUUAUCAAAUCAUGGACUAAUUAGGCUUAAUAGAUUCGUCUCACGAAUUAACCUCCAUUUAUGUAAUUAGUUUUAUAAUUAGAUUAUAUUUAAUACUCCUAAUUAGUAUGUGACAGGGGCUUAAGUUAGCCCAUGUGAGCCAAACAGGUCCUAACACCGCACCCCUUGGAACUCACAGAAGCCAGACCAGACCACCGCACGCUUCCCCUUACUGUUGGGUGACCACCUACCGGCCCCGAUUCAUCUGUGAGUACAUCCAGUCAUCCCCAUUUAUUAAGAUAGAGAACAAGUGCAAAUUCUUCGCUUGGCAAUGAUAAAAAAAAAUUCCCAAAGCAGGCAUUCUAAAUGUCAAGGGAUGGCCUCAUCAGCCGCAUUGCCCACUUUGCCAUAGCCGUCCAGAGACCAACUUUCGCUACUAUGCCCUUUCGCCAAAGUUUGUAUGGGAAACAGUAGCCAUGGCCCGAUGGGGGCCUUUGGUGAAUUAGAGACGCUUGGCUGUUUUGGCUCAUUAAAAUGAAAGCUUUGGAAAAGAGAAAAAUGGCCUAAUCACAAGCUAAUUUUUUUAUUCAUACUAUGCUUUAGUAUUCGCAUUUCAAAAAAAUACCAAAACAUAUCUGUGUCUUGGAUAUUUCUGGAAAAUAGUGUAUCCGUGUAUCCAUAUCUUCGCUGCAUAGGAUGACAGUUUGCAUGAUAAUUUAAUGACGUCGGAUUUUAAAUAGCCCAGCUUGACUCACCUUCUGAAUAACUUGUAGAGGAUAUGGAAAGCUCCUGAUUCUUGUCCCUCUCCCCACUUGAGCUACCUAAAAUAUAAAAAAAAGGAAAGAAGAAUAAACAUAACUCAAACAAUGGAAUGCGCUAUCAAGAGCAUUAGCAGUAGAUUCUCAUACACAACCAUGUAUUUACAAUGAACCAAUUUCGACAAAACGUUAUUACUCGUGUGCGUGUAGGCACAAUUACGCGUGAAACAGAGGCCUAGUGCUUUGUUUAGGCCCUAGGCGGUAAAUUAAUAGCGCAAGCGGGCACAAGCACAGGCACACGUUCUGGAGAGGCGGGGAGAAAGAGUGCAGGAGACGUGGGGAGAAGAGUGCGGGGGCAUGGGCGAUGGAUAACCGAAAAGAGUUGCUCGGCGCACAGAAAGAAUUACGGUAAUGGCAUGGCUCGACGCGUCAGACGCUUAUCACUAAAAAUAUCUGGCACGGAUCCUACAAACACCUUCUCUCUUUCCACCUUAUCCUUUCUCUCCUACAAUUCUUCCUUAUCCUUUCAUCUAGGGAAAAAUCACCCGCACCACUCACUCUCUCUGCCGCGCAGUUCAUGCGGGCAUGGGCGCGCUGCGGGGCCGCGCCGGCAGGCAUGGGCGCGCGAGGCCAGCGACGGCAGCGGUGCGUGGUGGUGAGGCCAACGGCGGCACCUACUGGCGAUGCGGGCACAGGUUGCGGCGGCGGUCGGCAGGCGUGGGGCUGGGAAAGAAUCCAUGGUAGCUGCUAUCGUACUCUAGGAGGAGGAAGAUUCCACCGCGGCCAGGGGCGAGCCGCGCCGGCCGCCGCCAUCCUCCUCCUCCUCCACCACCGUUUCCUAGGAUCCUGGUGUGCAGUGCUUCUCGUGCCAGGGUUUGCUGCAUGUUGCAAGCGUAUGUUUCAAGUGUUUUAGAUGUUUCAGAAGAAUGUUGCAAGUGUUUCAUGUGGAUGUUGCAAAGUAGAUCUAGAUGUUGCGAUAUUGUACAUGUUUCACACACAUGUUGCAAGUGUUUUAUCUGAAUGUUGCAUUUUCAAUGAGAGAUUUAAAUGUUCCAUGCAACACGAAACAGAUGUUGCAGCGGGUUUUUUUCCUCAUCAUCAACAGAUGGCUAAUAAAUUUUUUUCAACAUAUUUUUUGAUAUUGCAAAUGGUGGUUUUAUAUGUUGCAAAUAUUUAUUUUUUAUGUUGUAGACAUUAUUUUUUGAUGUUGUGAUGGACCAACGGAGCGUCCGAUAGACAUCCGGGCACAAGCAACGCCCAAACAAUUACCGCGUCACGUCGCGCCACUGCAUCUGCGCGUGGGAACCCCGUCACGGUGCAGAUAAGAUAAGAUCCAAAUGUUGAGUAAUCAUCAGCAUGGGAGUUAUUUGUUUUUGUUUUAUUUUUGUGCACAAGUAACUCGUAAAAUUGUAAACUAUUUUUAUACGUUUAGGAGUGAUUCUGCAGCACAUAGGUAUACAUGUAACAGAGUAAGACAAGACAAUCUAGUAAAAAACUUGGAACAUCAACAUGGUGCUCCAAAAAUCUGCACUAGCAAAAGAAAAACUAGCCCUUUAGUUUAAAUGAAUAAGACCUGAAAAGUUCAUAUAUAAGAUAAAUAAGGUGAUUUGAACUGGAGGUACGGACGAUACCAAUUUACAAUGUGGGCAAUGAUGAAAGCAAGUUCAGAAUAACUAUUUAUCUACUAAACGUAGCAACGUCAUGGUAAUGUAUAAAUUUGCAGCAGAUUAAAAGGCCAACUAGACACCCAUAAUCCAACCAGAUCUAUAACCCUGAAAGCUAUAUAGAUGAGCAGAAUAGUUACUAAUGAUACACUAGCUCACAAAAGAAGCCCAAGGUAGAAACAACACAAGAAAAGUACAGAUUGGCUCCAGCGCAUUUCAAGCAAAAGUACAGUAUGCAGCAAUGAAAUGGUCAGCCAUAUAAUUAGGCAAUUAGCAAUAACAGUGCCCCCAGACCUUAGCAAUGUCUUGAUCAGUACAACUAGCAAUGUGUCACAAUGACAUUGUCAGCAACAAGCCAGUAUAUCAUUUGCAAUCGCAAAGAAGCAUCACUGACAUGGGGCAUCGCACAUGGCAAUCACAUAUCAACUUAUGUGUGUUUUUUUGUUCCUUUCUUGCUUGCUGUGCAGAUAGAGAGGGGAUGCCAAGAUAGGGAUGAAUGACUCAGGACAGGGAGUGUCGUUUAGCAGGGGCGGACCCAGUAUAGGACAUGGGUGUACAUGUGUACACCCAAUAACUGUUGCAGAAAGAUUGAAUUUAGUAGGUAAAAUCAUGGUCAGAUCCGAAUACAAAUACCAUACGUUAGGGGUUUGGGUGUUUGAUUUCGCGCAGCAGGAUGGGAAGGGAGGGGAAUAGGCAGGCAUACCCCUGUCGGAUGUUCGUCACUGGCGAAGCGCCCGUCGCUCAACGAACAACGGACAGCGCAACUCACCCUGUCGUCGCCGCUAGGAAAGGAAGACCGAGGCCGAGAGAGAGAACAGAGAAGUCGUGGGAAGGGAGGUGUGAUGACUCUAGACUACGCGGCGGCACGCCAGCGAGCUUUGGUCGGAGAAUCGCCGCUGCUGGCGGGGCUUGGGGAAGAAGAUGAGCGGGAAGGGUUAGGUUUUGGUACUUGAUCUAUUCAUUCAUGCCCCUUCCCUACAUGGGGUUGGGUUAUGCCACAGGCCGGCGUGGUGGCCCAAUGGGCUUAGCCCAGUUCUUGACAUGGCCUCUGGCCCGAGCAUUACAAAGGAUACUUAGCCCAGUUCAUGUGACCCUUUAGCCGGAAAACCUAUACGUCUUCCACAAGAUUUUUUCCAAAGAAACUUCCACUUUAAUAUUCGUAUGAGAAUAUGAUCUAACACUUGCUGAUCUUCUUCUUCUCCUCUGCUAUAGGAUGAGGUUGGCCUGGCAGCGGCGGCGGUUCGACCGUGGCGGUGAUGCGACGCUUGGGUGGUGGUCGAGGCCAGCGGCGGCGGCGGUAGUGGUGGAGUUAGGGUUAGGUUUCAGAGUUUCCGGGGAGCUCCAGUGUCCGCCAGGCUUAAAGGAGGAGGUCGGGGGGAGGGGCGGCAAGUCUGGUGGUGGCGACGGUUGGGCCGAUUGCGGAGGCUCGCGCCGCCAGCCGAGCAGGGCAGGAAGUCCGGCGGGCGGUGGACGACAAACUUCGGAUUAGGAAUGGUGGGGUGGGGGUGGCGGUGGAGGGUGGGCGAACAGCGCGGCGGCGUGGCAGCCGCCGGCCGAGGUGGAGGACGAGGUGGCGGCAAAUGUGGGGAGCGUGGGGAAGAAGAUGAGGAAGGGGAGAAGAUGGGCCUCGAUGGGCCAAAAUUUUCAUCCCUUAUCUACCUUCCAGAAGGUAGAUAGGAGCCCUCCUAGCCCUGACACGAGGGUGUUGCCGCACCAGCCGGACUCGAGUUGCAGCUGGGCAGGGGAGCGUGGAGGGCGGUGCACGGGACGAUAGCGUGGAGAGUGGCAGGCACUGGGGGAGCAAAGGGAGAGAUGGGUCGCGGGGAGGAAGAAAACUGCAGCAGACGCUGUCGCGCGGGCCGAACCGGUUCGACCGAUUUCGUGGGAGAGGGGAAAAACUCCAUAAUUUUAAAGUCCAUCAGCCUAGAAAUCUAAAAUAAAUUAAUAUUUUAACAUAACAAAUUUAACAACUUUAAAAAAAUCAGACUAACGUUCGAAAAUAACAUAAUCAACAUUUUUCAAAACAUAUAACAAUAUUUCGUAGAAAGUAGUACAGUCAACAUGUUUCAUAGGCUAGAACAGAUCCAACAUUUUCCAAAGCAAAGAUCAACAUUUUUGAAAUGCUAGUUUUUUUUAUUUCUUCUUCUUCCCCAAAGUCGGUAGCUGGAGGGCCGUCGUGGCAAGCACAAGCAGUAGCAGCGCGUGGUGGAGAUAGAUGACAUCGAUAGACCACAAUGGUGGAUGCGGUAGGGAUCAGCGCUCGCAACAAGGGAAGCCAUGGGGCUCCGCAACAAGCACGGGCAGUGCACGGCGGAGGUGGCGCCAAUGGACAGCAACAAGGGUGGGACGUGAAGCGAGCAUGAGCAGUCCAAAUCUGAUAGAAAUAUCUAGUCUUUUAUUUUUUUUCUAAAGUAUUACCUUAACAUAAUAUAUCGAUUUUCACCUCUAAACUUUUUACCUCGUAAAGAAUACUUUUAGAAUAUCAUGGAAAUCAAAUAGAUGUAUACUUUUUUCAAUGAUGGUUCUAGAUAAAAGAUUUUUUUCUUUUAAUGAUGGUUCUAGAUAAAAGAUUUUUUUAGCAAAAAUAUCGCCAUCGCUACAUAAAAAAGAAAGUAAACAUUUUUUAAAUAUGAUAUUAUAAAAGCACUAGUUACUUUUGUCAUUUGGCUAGCGCAACUACACUAUGAUCUAUUAAAUUUUUUACGAAGACAACCAACCAGCAUUUUCCUUAUCACUAAAGUUUGAGAGUUGCCAUGAUAUCUCCCGAAAUAUUUGGUGACCCGUGGAAUGUAUAUUUUAGUUAAAAAUUUAAAAAUGUAUUUAAACAAAUACAACUUGCAAAACAUAUGAAUAUUCUUCUAUAUAUUUUGUCAUCAAAUGAUCUGCUCGUAGUAAUCCUUGAGUUUCCUAAUAAGAGAUAGUUGAAAGUUUAUCUCACAAAGUGGAAAGCACAUAUUGAUUGUGUGCCCGGAUAAAAACAAAAGAAAUUCACACGCGUAUUUUAUGAUGUCUGAUAUGCACAUACCUUUUCUUUAUUCCGUUUGCCCUUUCCUUAUUCCACUUGGUCCAGGUCUGCCCUUCCUAGCCUACACAAUAUUUACCUUCUCAUCUUUAGCCUUCAAUUCAACUUCCAGCUCAUCUACCCCGUGGCACGCUUGCUAUGCGAACUUCAAAUCAUAUGCCAGCUCAUCCAAUGAGGUGAUUGUACCAAUCAACAAGCCCUCUAGAUCAAAAACAGCGGCACUAAUUAUUUGCCACUUGGCUACCUCCAUUUUUUUUUUGUUUCCACUUCAGGACGUACUACGGCUAGACAAGAUAGAGCAAAUUUUCUUUUACUUUCAAGAACAACCUUCUUCAACCUUACAUCUGCAACUUUGCAGCUUGGAGAACUGCAAAAUAGUAUCUUUCUUUAGCACAGCUGCAAACGCAAGCAGUUUCAGAUAUAUACAUGCCCUUAUCAUUAGCAUAAACAUCCUGAAACAGUAGAAAGGCAUAGCUAUAUAUCAAUACUGCACAUAGGAAAUAACGUGAGAUCAUACUCUUCUCUACUCUCUCCAGUCAGUGAAUUGGAUGAAUACAAAAGGAUUUUGCACUGCAUUUUGUAGCUUUUCUAUAUUUAUGUUGCUAUUAUUUAUAACCAAAGUACAUGAUCAAGGUGGCCAUAGUGACUCCUGAAAAUUAGCCAACAAUGAGCAGCUGAGUACACUUCCUAACUUCUAGGACAAAGCUUGAGUGCUUGAUUGAAAGCAAAGGACUUGGACAACACUGCCAAACAAAGUCUAACGGACUUUUCUGACUCUACUCUGAUAAGCCAACAAACAAAUCUUCAGAAAUGGAAGCAAAGGCCAAACCAAAUAGGGGUUAUUUUUUCCUGAAACCAUACAAGGAAAAACUGAGUAGUGAAUCAGUUAGGGUACUUUACAUUAUAGUGCCUGACAUGAAGUUAAACCCACUAUAGCCCCCCUCUACUUCUGCAAUUGUGAAAAUCUCCUCCCUUCUUGGUUCACAUAACAGAGAAGGCAUCCUCAACCAGCAUUCAUCUUGCUCAAACUAACUAGGGAGAUUUCAACCACAACUACCAUAACCAGCUGCUUCAUUUUUAGCGAGAUUUCAACCACAAGUACCAUAACCAGCCACUUCUGCUUUAGCGAGAUAUUAACCACAACUACCAGAACCACCCGCUUCUGCUUUGGCCUUUGGGGUUGGUAAAGGAUGACGUGGCAGGGCAGGGCAGAGUUGGGUGGUGAUGUGCUUACGGCUAAGCUGAUAAAGUUACAUCAAAUUCUCAAAAUAUUCUUUAAAUUUAAGUCAUAACAUGCAAACCGAUAACGAAAUCUCUACUCACAUGGUGAGUUUGAUGGUUCAAAUUUAACAGGUUUGCUACCAAGUAGGAGUCUACAAAACUAAGCUAGGUUUGCUAUUAGGUAGGGGCAUGGAGAUCAUAAACUAAGAAUCCAAUAGUUCAAAUUAGAUAGGUUCUUGGCAAAUUUGGAGGUUCGGGACUGAGAUGCAUUAAGGUCACAUUUCAAUCGUACAUGGCACUGAAA
rnacentral:lncRNA from 1 species